rnacentral:lncRNA from 1 species
CAGAACGUUCUGGGCCGCCCCUGUGGGCGGGAGUGCAGCUGGGCUUUGCGCAGCCCCCGUGCCUGGGUUAGGCAGCUGUGGGCGGUGCGAAGCAGCCGGGAGGCGUUACGGAAUGCGGGUACGCCGAGGAUUCUGCUGGUCCUGCGCUGCAGACAGCUUGCAGUAAUACUGGUUUUGGAGCCAUUGUGAGGGGAAUGAUGACUGUGAACUAAGGGAAAAUGCUGCAGUUACAAUUCAGAAGUCUUGAUCCAGGAAGUCACACCUGUGUGUACAAUGGAUGGGGU